rnacentral:misc_RNA from 1 species
UAAGUAGUGGUAACCAAAGGAAACUAUGUAGCUCGGACUCUCCAAAAAUUGUUGCUUGCACCCAUGUCAAAUCCUCUACUUUCGGAGGAUUUAUACACACCCAGUGAUGUUUUUGAAGGAUUCGGGCAACACAGAAGGGAAAGUUAUUAACUUAACCAAGUUAAAUCCCCAACUGGUUUUGCACUUCUAAGAUAGUCUCAGCAGAGUUCCUAAGUUGCUGAAUUUCCUCAUCAGUAAGAUGCACAUUA